AGGAAGCAGGAGCUCUUUGUUUGCCUGCCAGAAGGCACCAGCAACUGGCCAGCCAACACAGCCACUGGAAGCAAGGACCGAAGGUGUAUGAGACAAUUCACAGAAGACGUAGUCCUUGCCUCAAAGAAAUCAUUAUGUGGCCAGAUUCUUUUCUGUGCCAAGAACCACUGGACGCACAGAAAAUGAGGAGGAAUACAAACCAAGAUGAGGAUGACUGUUAGUUCUUUGUUCUUGGACAUAAGUAUGAAUGAAGCCCAGGAGAAUGAGAGGUAGGAACAUUCAAUCAGAAGCAAUUCUAAUUGGUGAAGAAAUGUGGGUUGGAAAGAGCCAGGAAAAUAUGACGGAAAAGUAUUCACAAAUAUGACGGAAAAGUAUUCACAAAUAUUCUUCUGAAAGAAAGCCAUGAACUCACUUUUAUGGUAUCUACAAUCCUUUUUAUUAUUUUCCUUGAUGAGACAUUCAAUAUGACCAUGUUUGUAACCUUUUUUA